AUGAACGCUAGCUACAGGCUUAACACAUGCAAGUCGAGGGGCAGCAUGGUCUUAGCUUGCUAAGGCCGAUGGCGACCGGCGCACGGGUGAGUAACACGUAUCCAACCUGCCGUCUACUCUUGGACAGCCUUCUGAAAGGAAGAUUAAUACAAGAUGGCAUCAUGAGUCCGCAUGUUCACAUGAUUAAAGGUAUUCCGGUAGACGAUGGGGAUGCGUUCCAUUAGAUAGUAGGCGGGGUAACGGCCCACCUAGUCUUCGAUGGAUAGGGGUUCUGAGAGGAAGGUCCCCCACAUUGGAACUGAGACACGGUCCAAACUCCUACGGGAGGCAGCAGUGAGGAAUAUUGGUCAAUGGGCGAGAGCCUGAACCAGCCAAGUAGCGUGAAGGAUGACUGCCCUAUGGGUUGUAAACUUCUUUUAUAAAGGAAUAAAGUCGGGUAUGGAUACCCGUUUGCAUGUACUUUAUGAAUAAGGAUCGGCUAACUCCGUGCCAGCAGCCGCGGUAAUACGGAGGAUCCGAGCGUUAUCCGGAUUUAUUGGGUUUAAAGGGAGCGUAGAUGGAUGUUUAAGUCAGUUGUGAAAGUUUGCGGCUCAACCGUAAAAUUGCAGUUGAUACUGGAUAUCUUGAGUGCAGUUGAGGCAGGCGGAAUUCGUGGUGUAGCGGUGAAAUGCUUAGAUAUCACGAAGAACUCCGAUUGCGAAGGCAGCCUGCUAAGCUGCAACUGACAUUGAGGCUCGAAAGUGUGGGUAUCAAACAGGAUUAGAUACCCUGGUAGUCCACACGGUAAACGAUGAAUACUCGCUGUUUGCGAUAUACGGCAAGCGGCCAAGCGAAAGCGUUAAGUAUUCCACCUGGGGAGUACACCGGCAACGGUGAAACUCAAAGGAAUUGACGGGGGCCCGCACAAGCGGAGGAACAUGUGGUUUAAUUCGAUGAUACGCGAGGAACCUUACCCGGGCUUAAAUUGCAGAUGAAUUACGGUGAAAGCCGUAAGCCGCAAGGCAUCUGUGAAGGUGCUGCAUGGUUGUCGUCAGCUCGUGCCGUGAGGUGUCGGCUUAAGUGCCAUAACGAGCGCAACCCUUGUUGUCAGUUACUAACAGGUUCUGCUGAGGACUCUGACAAGACUGCCAUCGUAAGAUGUGAGGAAGGUGGGGAUGACGUCAAAUCAGCACGGCCCUUACGUCCGGGGCUACACACGUGUUACAAUGGGGGGUACAGAGGGCCGCUACCACGCGAGUGGAUGCCAAUCCCCAAAACCUCUCUCAGUUCGGACUGGAGUCUGCAACCCGACUCCACGAAGCUGGAUUCGCUAGUAAUCGCGCAUCAGCCACGGCGCGGUGAAUACGUUCCCGGGCCUUGUACACACCGCCCGUCAAGCCAUGGGAGCCGGGGGUACCUGAAGUGCGUAACCGCGAGGAGCGCCCUAGGGUAAAACUGGUGACUGGGGCU
rnacentral:rRNA from 1 species